rnacentral:rRNA from 1 species
AUUGAACGCUGGCGGCAGGCCUAACACAUGCAAGUCGAACGAGUGGCGGACGGGUGAGUAAUACGUGGGAACCUGCCCUCCUUUUUGGGAUAAGCCUUGGAAACGGGGUCUAAUACCGAAUAAAGGGGGAUGGGCUCGCGGCCUAUCAGCUUGUUGGUGGGGUGAUGGCCUACCAAGGCGACGAUCCCUAGCUGGUCUGAGAGGAUGACCAGCCACACUGGAACUGAGACACGGUCCAGACUCCUACGGGAGGCAGCAGUGGGGAAUAUUGCACAAUGGGCGCAAGCCUGAUGCAGCCAUGCCGCGUGUAUGAAGAAGGCCUUCGGGUUGUAAAGUACUUUCAGCGAGGAGGCGUUACUCGCAGAAGAAGCACCGGCUAACUCCGUGCCAGCAGCCGCGGUAAUAC